AUUGAACGCUGGCGGCAGGCCUAACACAUGCAAGUCGAGCGAGCGGCGGACGGGUGCGUAAUGUAUGGGGAUCUGCCCGAUAGAGGGGGAUAACUACUGGAAACGGUAGCUACUACCGCAUACUAUCGGAUGACCCCAUAUGGGCUUAGCUAGUAGGUGGGGUAAAGGCUCUCCUAGGCGACGAUCUCUAGCUGGUCGGAGAGGAUGAUCAGCCGCCUUGGUACUGAGACACUGCCCAGACGCCUAAGGGAGGCAGCAGUGGGGAACAUUGCACAAUGGGCGCAAUCCUGAUGCAGCCAUGCCGCGUGUAUGAAGAAGGCCUUAGGGUUGUAAAGUACUUUCGGCGGGGAGGCGUUACCCGCAGAAGAAGCACCGGCUAACUCCGUGCCAGCAGCCGCGGUAAUUC
rnacentral:rRNA from 1 species